rnacentral:lncRNA from 1 species
UUAAAUAUAGAGUUUUGGCAUAAACUUUUGAUACGACACUACAUAACAAAUUGAAAUGGAUUUAAUAUAUAAAGUAAGUUCAAGAGAUCUAGUAACAUACCAUUGAAGCUGUUGUCUACCAAAUAUAAACGCACAAGUGUUGAUAAGUUUCCAAUUUCAUUUGGAAUAUUUCCUGGCAAUCCAUUUAAACAUAUUGAUUUUAAAAUAUCAAACGUCAAAUUAACAUGAAUUAGAUCUAAUGGGAAAAGAAAUACCAACCAAUUUGAAAUUUUUUACCUACGAAGUUAUUGCCUGUUAAAUCUAACACUUGAAGUGCUGAUAAGGUUUCAAUUUCAUUUGGAAUACUUCCCAUGAAAUUGUUGUUAGAGAUGUCUAGAACUUGAAGUGCACGACAUUGCAAUAGACUUGGAAGUAUCUCUCCGUGAAAUUUGUUUUCACCGAGGUCUAAAUAUUCAAUCAUUGUAGCUCGGUUGCAUGGAUGUUGCAGAAACUUUCCAGAAAUUUGGUUACCUCUGACAGAUAUUUUCAGGAGAGAAGAGAUAUUGAAGAUGGUCGAAGGUAUGUCUCCUGCAAAACAUACCUUGAUAAUCACAUAAUCCCAGAGAUUCAAACGCACUGGCACGUGCACAUAGUAUCCCUUUUACAGUUACUAAGUUGACAUUUACCAAAAUUAAUAAGAGCAAAAUCACCGAUUAACAUCAAGGGCAGAUCCAGAAUUAUAAUUCGAUGGGGACGAGACAAAAAAUGAACUAAAAUAAAUUGUGAAAGAAACUAAAAAAAAUCUGAAAAUUUAAAUUUUAAAAAGCCCAAUUGAAGGUUUUUGAAAAUUCAGUGAGGGUGACUGACCCCAUUCUACCCUCAGUGGGUCCGCCCCUUAUUAACAUGGAUGGAGCUAUAAGAUUUUGUAAAUAUGUAGGCGUAUUAUUGCUAUGUUAUGCAAGUGGGUUGUUCCACUCUUGACCAAGUAGAAACAAGUAGAAAUUUUAUCCAUUGUAUCCCAUCAAGUGAUAUUGAAUAUUGCAUCCUACAAUUAUUAUUAUUAUUAUUAUUUUUUAUUUUUUUUUAAGGAGCAUGUGAUGAUAACUAAUUCUUUGUAUCAAUUUUCUAUAAGGCACGAGGCAUGACAAAGCAGCAAUAUCAAAACUCAAGUUUUACGAGCCCACACGUGUAAAUUUUGAGAACUUUUAAAGUUAUUCAUUUGGGAAAGGUCAAUGACAACUUGAAGAACUUAUAAAGUUAUACAGUUGGAAAAGUUCAAUGACAACAAUAAUAUUUAACCCAAGAAAAUAAGAAAGUGGGCUUAUCGGUAUCCAUCUUCAUGACAAGCCACAACACAUUUGUCAAAAAACUGUAAAAUGCCUAUUUGAUAACCUAAGUUCAUUUAGAUUUUCCAUUAGCAUAAAAGUAUUUGUUAUAUCUAACUAUUUUAUCCUCGCCUGGGAAGAAUUUUUGAACGAUUCAAUUUAUAAAUAUAUAGAAAUGAAUGGUAAAUAAGUGGCUAGUACUUGUGGAUCCAUUGAAAUAUGUUGUUGAAAAUGAAAUUUGAUUAUUUAUAACUUAUUUAUAUUUUUCCGGAGGCUUAAAUAUAGAGUUUUGGCAUAAACUUUUGAUACGACACUACAUAACAAAUUGAAAUGGAUUUAAUAUAUAAAGUAAGUUCAAGAGAUCUAGUAACAUACCAUUGAAGCUGUUGUCUACCAAAUAUAAACGCACAAGUGUUGAUAAGUUUCCAAUUUCAUUUGGAAUAUUUCCUGGCAAUCCAUUUAAACAUAUUGAUUUUAAAAUAUCAAACGUCAAAUUAACAUGAAUUAGAUCUAAUGGGAAAAGAAAUACCAACCAAUUUGAAAUUUUUUACCUACAAAGUUAUUGCCUGUUAAAUCUAACACUUGAAGUGCUGAUAAGGUUUCAAUUUCAUUUGGAAUACUUCCCAUGAAAUUGUUGUUAGAGAUGUCUAGAACUUGAAGUGCACGACAUUGCAAUAGACUUGGAAGUAUCUCUCCGUGAAAUUUGUUUUCACCGAGGUCUAAAUAUUCAAUCAUUGUAGCUCGGUUGCAUGGAUGUUGCAGAAACUUUCCAGAAAUUUGGUUACCUCUGACAGAUAUUUUC